GACGAACGCUGGCGGCGUGCUUAACACAUGCAAGUCGAACGGAAAGGCCCUGCUUUUGUGGGGUGCUCGAGUGGCGAACGGGUGAGUAACACGUGAGUAACCUGCCCUUGACUUUGGGAUAACUUCAGGAAACUGGGGCUAAUACCGGAUAGGAGCUCCUGCUGCAUGGUGGGGGUUGGAAAGUUUCGGCGGUUGGGGAUGGACUCGCGGCUUAUCAGCUUGUUGGUGGGGUAGUGGCUUACCAAGGCUUUGACGGGUAGCCGGCCUGAGAGGGUGACCGGCCACUGGGGGACGGAGAGAGGGCCCAGCCCCCAAGGGGGGGGAGGGGGGGGAAAUUUUGCAAAGGGGGGGGACGCUGGGGGCAGAAACCCCCGGGGGGGAAAGCGGCCUUUGGGGGGGAAAACAGUUUUCGCUGGGACAGAAGCGGGGUGGACGGAAAUGGGUAAAAAAGCCCGGGCUACCUACGG
rnacentral:rRNA from 1 species